rnacentral:rRNA from 1 species
CCUACGGGUGGCAGCAGUGAGGAAUAUUGGUCAAUGGACGAGAGUCUGAACCAGCCAUGUAGCGUGAAGGAUGACUGCCCUAUGGGUUGUAAACUUCUUUUAUAUGGGAAUAAAAUGUUCCACGUGUGGGAUUUUGUAUGUACCAUAUGAAUAAGGAUCGGCUAACUUCGUGCCAGCAGCCGCGGUAAUACGGAGGAUCCGAGCGUGAUCCUGGUUUAUUGGGUUUAAAGGGAGCGUAGGUGGAUUGUUAAGUCAGUUGUGAAAGUUUGCGGCUCAACCGUAAAAUUGCAGUUGAAACUGGCAGUCUUGAGUACAGUAGAGGUGGGCGGAAUUCGUGGUGUAGCGGUGAAAUGCUUAGAUAUCACGAAGAACUCCGAUUGCGAAGGCAGUUCACUGGACUGCAACUGACACUGAGGCUCGAAAGUGUGGGUAUCAAACAGGAUUAGAUACCCCUGUAGUC